GAACCUGUGUGCCGCGAUGGCGCACGCUGAGUCGCUGACUAGACGGAGUACGGGAGUCAACGUUCAACGUCAGAGUACUAGUAGGAGUAGCAUUCAACCUGAGUUUUCGAUCAGACGGUGAACUGCAUUUCGAUUUCGUGCACUCUGUACAGACGUACAGUAGCCGCGGUUUUGAAUGAACAGGGCGUCGGGCGUGAGCUGUGUGUCGUGAGGAAAGGGGGCGCUGGUUUUG
rnacentral:lncRNA from 1 species